rnacentral:rRNA from 1 species
GAUGAACGCUGGCGGCGUGCCUAAUACAUGCAAGUCGAGCGAACAGACGAGGAGCUUGCUCCUCUGACGUUAGCGGCGGACGGGUGAGUAACACGUGGAUAACCUACCUAUAAGACUGGGAUAACUUCGGGAAACCGGAGCUAAUACCGGAUAAUAUAUUCAACCGCAUGGUUCAAUAGUGAAAGACGGUUUUGCUGUCACUUAUAGAUGGUUCCGCGCCGCAUUAGCUAGUUGGUAAGGUACCGGCUUACCAAGGCGACGAUGCGUAGCUGACCUGAGAGGGUGAUCGGCCACACUGGAACUGAGACACGGUCCAGACUCCUACGGGAGGCAGCAGUAGGGAAUCUUCCGCAAUGGGCGAAAGCCUGACGGAGCAACGCCGCGUGAGUGAUGAAGGUCUUCGGAUCGUAAAACUCUGUUAUUAGGGAAGAACAAAUGUGUAAGUAACUAUGCACGUCUUGACGGUACCUAAUCAGAAAGCCACGGCUAACUACGUG